CACUAUCGUUAACUGAAUACAUAGGUUAACGAGGCGAACCGGGGGAACUGAAACAUCUAAGUACCCCGAGGAAAAGAAAUCAACCGAGAUUCCCCCAGUAGCGGCGAGCGAACGGGGAGCAGCCCAGAGUCUGAAUCAGCUUGUGUGUUAGUGGAACGGUCUGGAAAGUCCGACGGUACAGGGUGAUAGUCCCGUACACCAAAAUGCACAGGCUGUGAACUCGAAGAGUAGGGCGGGACACGUGGUAUCCUGUCUGAAUAUGGGGGGACCAUCCUCCAAGGCUAAAUACUCCUGACUGACCGAUAGUGAACCAGUACCGUGAGGGAAAGGCGAAAAGAACCCCGGCGAGGGGAGUGAAAAAGAACCUGAAACCGUGUACGUACAAGCAGUGGGAGCACCUUCGGGUGUGACUGCGUACCUUUUGUAUAAUGGGUCAGCGACUUAUAUUCUGUAGCAAGGUUAACCGUAUAGGGGAGCCGCAGGGAAACCGAGUCUUAACUGGGCGUUAAGUUGCAGGGUAUAGACCCGAAACCCGGUGAUCUAGCCAUGGGCAGGUUGAAGGUUGGGUAACACUAACUGGAGGACCGAACCGACUAAUGUUGAAAAAUUAGCGGAUGACUUGUGGCUGGGGGUGAAAGGCCAAUCAAACCGGGAGAUAGCUGGUUCUCCCCGAAAGCUAUUUAGGUAGCGCCUCGUGAAUUCAUCUUCGGGGGUAGAGCACUGUUUCGGCUAGGGGGUCAUCCCGACUUACCAACCCGAUGCAAACUACGAAUACCGAAGAAUGUUAUCACGGGAGACACACGGCGGGUGCUAACGUCCGUCGUGAAGAGGGAAACAACCCAGACCGCCAGCUAAGGUCCCAAAGUCAUGGUUAAGUGGGAAACGAUGUGGGAAGGCACAGACAGCCAGGAUGUUGGCUUAGAAGCAGCCAUCAUUUAAAGAAAGCGUAAUAGCUCACUGGUCGAGUCGGCCUGCGCGGAAGAUGUAACGGGGCUAAACCAUGCACCGAAGCUGCGGCAGCGACACUAUGUGUUGUUGGGUAGGGGAGCGUUCUGUAAGCCUGCGAAGGUGACCUGUGAGGGUUGCUGGAGGUAUCAGAAGUGCGAAUGCUGACAUAAGUAACGAUAAAGCGGGUGAAAAGCCCGCUCGCCGGAAGACCAAGGGUUCCUGUCCAACGUUAAUCGGGGCAGGGUGAGUCGACCCCUAAGGCGAGGCCGAAAGGCGUAGUCGAUGGGAAACAGGUUAAUAUUCCUGUACUUGGUGUUACUGCGAAGGGGGGACGGAGAAGGCUAUGUUAGCCGGGCGACGGUUGUCCCGGUUUAAGCAUGUAGGCUGGUU
rnacentral:rRNA from 1 species